CCUACGGGAGGCAGCAGUGAGGAAUAUUGGUCAAUGGGCGCGAGCCUGAACCAGCCAAGUAGCGUGAAGGAUGACUGCCCUACGGGUUGUAAACUUCUUUUAUAAAGGAAUAAAGUGAGCCACGGGUGCCUGUUUGUAUGUACUUUAUGAAUAAGGAUCGGCUAACUCCGUGCCAACAGCCGCGGUAAUACGGAGGAUCCGAGCGUUAUCCGGAUUGAGUGGGUUUAAAGGGAGCGUAGAUGGGUUGUUAAGUCAGUUGUGAAAGUUUGCGGCUUAACCGUAAAAGUGCAAUUGAUACUGGCAGUCUUGAGUACAGGUGAGGUAGGCGGAAUUCGUGGUGUAGCGGUGAAAUGCGUAGAUAUCACGAAGAACUCCGAUUGCGAAGGCAGCUUACUAAAAUGCCACUGACAUUGAUGCUCGAAAGUGUGGGGAUCAAACAGGAUUAGAUACCCGAGUAGUC
rnacentral:rRNA from 1 species